CGAAACGCAAUGACCGGGACUUUUAAACCAGAGGGCUUCAGACAGGGAGGAAAAGCCGCGAUUGAGAGCUUUUCUCUGAAUGCCGGUUUAAAGGAACACCCGGGAGGCGGCUUAACUGAAAGGUCUUAGUAGGUUAAGACGGUUUGGCCCCGUUACGGCCAAGAGCGGAAGGUUUCUACCUUCAAGCAGGGUGGCACCGCGGGUAAUCCCGUCCCUGGG
rnacentral:ncRNA from 1 species